rnacentral:rRNA from 1 species
UACGUAGGUGACAAGCGUUGUCCGGAUUUACUGGGCGUAAAGAGCGCGCAGGCGGUCGAUCAAGUCGAGUGUGAAAGCCCCCGGCUCAACUGGGGAGGGUCAUUCGAUACUGAUCGACUCGAAGGCAGGAGAGGGUAGUGGAAUUCCCGGUGUAGUGGUGAAAUGCGUAGAUAUUCGGAAGAACACCAGUGGCGAAGGCGGCUCACUGGACCGGUAUUGACGCUGAGGUGCGAAAGCGUGGGGAGCAAACAGG